rnacentral:rRNA from 1 species
AUUGAGCGCUGGCGGAAUGCUUUACACAUGCAAGUCGAACGGCAGCACGGGGGCAACCCUGGUGGCGGGUGGCGAACGGGUGAGUAAUACAUCGGAACGUGCCCAGUCGUGGGGGAUAACGUAGCGAAAGUUACGCUAAUACCGCAUACGAUCUACGGAUGAAAGCGGGGGACCGUAAGGCCUCGCGCGAUUGGAGCGGCCGAUGUCAGGUUAGGUAGUUGGUGAGGGAAAGGCUCACCAAGCCGACGAUCUGUAGCUGGUCUGAGAGGACGACCAGCCACACUGGGACUGAGACACGGCCCAGACUCCUACGGGAGGCAGCAGUGGGGAAUUUUGGACAAUGGGCGCAAGCCUGAUCCAGCCAUUCCGCGUGCAGGACGAAGGCCUUCGGGUUGUAAACUGCUUUUGUACGGAACGAAAAGGCUCUGGUUAAUACCUGGGGCUCAUGACGGUACCGUAAGAAUAAGCACCGGCUAACUACGUGCCAGCAGCCGCAGUAA